UACGUAGGUGGCAAGCGUUGUCCGGAUUUAUUGGGUUUAAAGGGUGCGUAGGCGGCUGUUUAAGUCAGUGGUGAAAGCCGAUCGCUUAACGAUCGAACUGCCAUUGAUACUGAAUAGCUUGAGUACAGAUGAGGUAGGCGGAAUUGACAGUGUAGCGGUGAAAUGCAUAGAUAUUGUCAAGAACACCGAUUGCGAAGGCAGCUUACUAAAGUGUCACUGACGCUGAGGCACGAAAGCGUGGGGAGCAAACAGG
rnacentral:rRNA from 1 species